UCCAACUUUCAGAUGGUUAACAAACAUACGAGAGUAUUUACUUAUUGUAAAUACUCUAAAUAACAUUUGUGGUGGAAAUACACUGGUACUCAAAAAUUUAUUAAUCAGAAAGAAAGUCAGCAGAAAUGGAUAAAAAUAGUGAUUUGAGUCUCGCAGAGUGGGACAGAUUUUAGCUUUAUUGAUUGAUAUAACAGAAAUAGCAAUAAAACUUGGUAUUUCAACUCAAACAAUCAGCAAAAUUAAGAAGAAACUGAAUUACGAUCAACUUUUAAGCGCAAAAAGAGUGGAAAGAUGUGACAAGCAAUGGAAAACAACAAGAUUAGACAAAAAUAAUACAAAUGUCUCUUAACAAGAGAAGGACAUCUUGCAGGCAGAUUUGCUGUGACCAGGAGCAGCAGGUCUGUUAAUGAGAAGCUUCUGGAGAGUGGACUGAAAGUACAUCGUCCCAGAAAGAAGCAGCAAACUUACCGAACCCAAGAUAUUGGAAGGUUUAGGCUGAGCUGAGCAUCACAGUGAGUGGACUUCUGGACAAUGACAGCAGGUGGUGUUGUCUGACGAAUCAAGCAUUGCAGUGUUGGAUGACAGUGCUGACUGUAACAAGGCUGUCAGGUGAGGAUUUUAUGUCCGAAUGUCUCAAGAAGACGGUCAAAUUUCCUCAGAAAAUCUUGGUGUGGGAAGCCAUUUCCAUUCAUGGAACAAGUCGUUUGCACAUUGUUGAUGGUACCAUCAACCAGGUUAAGUGCACAGAAGUGCUACAACGACAAUUACUGCCUCAGGUAAAGGACUGGUAUGGUGAUGGACGUUGGAUAUUCCCACAAGACUCGGCACCAUGUGCACGGUAAAACCUGUAAUGUCGAGGUGUGCACAAUAUAGCGCUGAGCUGAUCCACUGGGCUGGAAAUUACUCCGACAUGAACGCUGAGAGUUUAUAGUCUGUACUGAAGAAAGAAAUACACGAAGUUCCCAUUACUAACAAACUGCAGCUCAUAAAAAGCCUUAUUAAGGUUGUGUUUCAUUCCGUCAGAAUAAAUGAAUUAUGCAAAACUUUGAUGGCUGGCAUGAUGCCCACACGUGUUAAAGAACCUGUGGACUUAUGGAUGCUAGCGAGAGUUAAACCAAUGUAAAAUAGUUUAUCAAUACUGGUGUAUCAAAAUAAAUCCAUUAACAGUCA